GACGAACGCUGGCGGCGUGCCUAAUACAUGCAAGUCGAACGAACCGCGACUAGGUGCUUGCACUUGGUCAAGGUGAGUGGCGAACGGGUGAGUAACACGUGGGUAACCUACCUCAUAGUGGGGGAUAACAGUCGGAAACGACUGCUAAUACCGCAUAGGACAUAGGAUCACAUGAUUCUGUGAGGAAAGGUGGCGCAAGCUAUCGCUAAGAGAUGGACCCGCGGUGCAUUAGCUAGUUGGUAGGGUAAAGGCCUACCAAGGCGAUGAUGCAUAGCCGACCUGAGAGGGUGAUCGGCCACAUUGGGACUGAGACACGGCCCAAACUCCUACGGGAGGCAGCAGUAGGGAAUCUUCCGCAAUGGACGCAAGUCUGACGGAGCAACGCCGCGUGAGUGAAGAAGGUCUUCGGAUCGUAAAGCUCUGUUGUUAGAGAAGAACAGCGCAUAGAGUAACUGUUAUGCGUGUGACGGUAUCUAACCAGAAAGCCACGGCUAACUACGUG
rnacentral:rRNA from 1 species